AUUGAACGCUGGCGGCAUGCCUUACACAUGCAAGUCGAACGGCAGCACGGACUUCGGUCUGGUGGCGAGUGGCGAACGGGUGAGUAAUGUAUCGGAACGUACCUUUCAGUGGGGGAUAACGUAGCGAAAGUUACGCUAAUACCGCAUAUUCUGUGAGCAGGAAAGCAGGGGAUCGCAAGACCUUGCGCUGAUUGAGCGGCCGAUAUCAGAUUAGCUAGUUGGUGGGGUAAAGGCCUACCAAGGCUACGAUCUGUAGCGGGUCUGAGAGGAUGAUCCGCCACACUGGAACUGAGACACGGUCCAGACUCCUACGGGAGGCAGCAGUGGGGAAUUUUGGACAAUGGGGGCAACCCUGAUCCAGCCAUGCCGCGUGAGUGAAGAAGGCCUCGG
rnacentral:rRNA from 1 species